rnacentral:lncRNA from 1 species
CAUUUUGAGGUGUUUGUGACUUUGCCCUUCUAAUUCUCCUCCUCCUCUACAACAAAAUUUUAGCACACACAAAGAAAAAGAAAAAUGACAUAAAUUAGCAAUCAAACGCGUGGGUUGCCUCCCACGAAGCGCUUUGUUUAACGUUGUAUGGCUCGACGGUUCAUUUCCCUUAUCAUGGGGGGUAUUUUAGGUUCAAAACCUUGUUGCACCUCUUGUCUAUAACUCGGAUGUUGUCUCUUUU